rnacentral:snoRNA from 1 species
UCUGGCUGUGAUGACAAACUUGCCCUCACUGAGUUAAGGCUUGAUUGAGACAUUUAUAACUGAGCCACC